UACGGGGGGGGCAAGCGUUGUUCGGAAUUACUGGGCGUAAAGGGCUCGCAGGCGGCCAACUAAGUCGGAUGUGAAAUCCCCAGGCUUAACCUGGGAACUGCAUCCGAUACUGGAUGGCUUGAAUUCGGGAGAGGGAUGCAGAAUUCCAGGUGUAGCGGUGAAAUGCUUAGAUAUCGUCAAGAACACCUAUUGCGAAGGCAGCUUACUAAGCUUUAACUGACACUGAGGCACGAAAGUGUGGGGAUCAAACAGG
rnacentral:rRNA from 1 species